rnacentral:rRNA from 1 species
AUUGAACGCUGGCGGCAUGCUUUACACAUGCAAGUCGAACGGUAACAGGCCGCAAGGUGCUGACGAGUGGCGAACGGGGGAGUAAUGCAUCGGAACGUGCCCAGUCGUGGGGGAUAACUACUCGAAAGAGUAGCUAAUACCGCAUACGAUCUAUGGAUGAAAGCGGGGGACCGUAAGGCCUCGCGCGAUUGGAGCGGCCGAUGUCAGAUUAGGUAGUUGGUGGGGUAAAGGCUCACCAAGCCAACGAUCUGUAGCUGGUCUGAGAGGACGACCAGCCACACUGGGACUGAGACACGGCCCAGACUCCUACGGGAGGCAGCAGUGGGGAAUUUUGGACAAUGGGCGCAAGCCUGAUCCAGCAAUGCCACGUGCAGGAAGAAGGCCUUCGGGUUGUAAACUGCUUUUGUACGGAACGAAACGGCUCUGGUUAAUACCCGGGGCUAAUGACGGUACCGUAAGAAUAAGCACCGGCUAACUACGUG